UACGUAGGGUGCAAGCGUUAAUCGGAAUUACUGGGCGUAAAGCGUGCGCAGGCGGUUUUUUAAGUCAGAUGUGAAAUCCCCGGGCUUAACCUGGGAACUGCGUUUGAAACUACAAGGCUAGAGUGUGACAGAGGGGGGUGGAAUUCCACGUGUAGCAGUGAAAUGCGUAGAGAUGUGGAGGAACACCGAUGGCGAAGGCAGCCCCCUGGGUUAACACUGACGCUCAGGCACGAAAGCGUGGGGAGCAAACAGG
rnacentral:rRNA from 1 species